UAUGGCGUCUAUCCAAACAUGUGAUCGUAGUGACCAACAAAAAUGGAUUUUACACGGAUGUGAACCAUACAAACGGCAGACAUAGAUUUCGAAAUCGAAAUGGAACCCAAGCGAAGAAUUCCACGCAUAUUAAGACACCAGUCUGACGAACCUAGAGCUGCAUACCCGGAAUAUCUCCGCUAUGUCCGCCGCCUCACCACCUCGAUGGAAGACAACGUCAUCUCAGAGAGCGUAUGCCGCUAUUACGAUGACAAGGGCGAGAGCUACGUGGUCGCAUUGUUUGCCAAUCAUUGAAUAUACAAUAAAAUAAAAUCUGCGUUUUCUUUUAAAUGAUUCAAUUUUUGGGUUUAAGACAAUUGUUCGUUAUAAAAGACGGAACAAUUUUACCUGCUCGAACAUUAUGAUCGGAUUCUGUGCUUUCAACAAUGCCUUAUUGUAAGCCAUAUAGUCCAGAUAACCUAUUGAAAGGUUGUAUGGUAAACUGUAUUAUGGUCAGUUCUUUCUGUGAUUUUUCCUUUUAAUUUUAAUUUCCAAUUCCAUAUUCAGUAGCCAUUCAUCGGCAACCGUCGUUAAAUCUGCAAAAAAUCGGCUAUGUUCGAAAACCUAUUCAGCUAUUGUUCUUGUUUGAAUAUGCCACCGUUCAACCAUGUUCUACUGCAAAUUAGUUUACAUAAAAUCUACGGAAAUGUUUUAGGACUCAACCAGUGUUAAAAUACGCUGCUUUAAUGACUACUGCUAAGAAACACUGCUAGGAACAGAAACAAAAAUACAAAUGAAGUAUCAAACAUAUCAAAAAUCUGAAAAAGUUAUACCUAUUUACA